rnacentral:rRNA from 1 species
CCUGAGAAACGGCUACCACAUCCAAGGAAGGCAGCAGGCGCGCAAAUUACCCACUCCCGGCACGGGGAGGUAGUGACGAAAAAUAACGAUACGGGACUCAUCCGAGGCCCCGUAAUCGGAAUGAGCACACUUUAAAUACUUUAACAAGUAUCCAUUGGAGGGCAAGUCUGGUGCCAGCAGCCGCGGUAAUUCCAGCUCCAAUAGCGUAUAUUAAAGUUGUUGCGGUUAAAAAGCUCGUAGAUGGGACUGUGUUCCGCACUGUCGGUGCACCAAUUAUGGUGUUUACUGACAUGCUGCGGAACGUCCUGCCGGUGGGACUGUUGCCACUGUUUGGACGUUUGUUUUUAUUUAAAGGCAGCGAUCAACGGUUCAGUAACAAACUCCUGUCACCCAUCGCGGUGCUCUUUACUGAGUGUCUCGGCGGGCCGGCACGUUUACUUUGAACAAAUUAGAGUGCUYAAAGCAGGCCUCACGCCUGAAUAUUGUGUGCAUGGAAUAAUAGAAUAGGACCUCGGUUCUAUUUUGUUGGUUUUCUGGACCAGAGGUAAUGAUUAAGAGGAACGGACGGGGGCAUUCGUAUUGAGACGUUAGAGGUGAAAUUCUUGGACCGUCGCAAGACGGACAGAAGCGAAAGCAUUUGCCAAGAACGUUUUCAUUAAUCAAGAACGAAAGUUAGAGGUUCGAAGGCGAUCAGAUACCGCCCUAGUUCUAACCAUAAACGAUGCCAGCCAGCGAUCCGCCAAAGUUCCUCCGAUGACUUGGCGGGCAGCUUCCGGGAAACCAAAGCUUUUGGGUUUUGGGGGAAGUAUGGUUGCAAAGCUGAAACUUAAAGGAAUUGACGGAAGGGCACCACCAGGAGUGGAGCCUGCGGCUUAAUUUGACUCAACACGGGAAACCUCACCAGGUCCGGACACCGGAAGGAUUGACAGAUUAAGAGCUCUUUCUUGAUUCGGUGGGUGGUGGUGCAUGGCCGUUCUUAGUUGGUGGAACGAUUUGUCUGGUUAAUUUCCGAUAACGAACGAGACUC